CCCUUAGAUGUUCUGGGCUGCACGCGCGCUACACUGAUGCGAUCAACAAGUUUUUCCUAUGUCGAUAGACACGGGUAAUCUUUUGAACUCGCAUCGUGAUGGGGAUAGAUUAUUGUAAUUAUUAAUCUUCAACGAGGAAUUCCUAGUAGGUGCAAAUCAUCAGUUUGCAUCGAUUACGUCCCUGCCCUUUGUACACACCGCCCGUCGCUGCUACCGAUUGGUUGAUCUGGCGAAUUAUUCGGACUGCCGGCUGAAGGGGUUUCCUCAUCUGCCAGCGGAAAGUCUUGUUAACCCUAUCAACUAGAGGAAGCAGAAGUCGUAACA
rnacentral:rRNA from 1 species